GAAUUUGAGGGUGACCUGGCUGUGACAAGCCACCCCACUGAUCACCAGUGUUUUUUCAACUGAUCUUACUGGCUUGCUGGGUGUCCCCUUUCUCCUCCACAGUUCCGUGUCUGUCCUUCGUGAAGCAGAAUACUCCGUCAAAAAGGACACUUUUUUUUUCAUCAUUAAAGAACUUUCUAUGUUGAUUUCUGUUUAGGUAAGUAUCAAAUUUCUAGUCUAUCUGAACCUCCUAGGAUUGAAAAAUGGCACUUGAAAAUUAAGAAUAGGAAUAAGAAAUCCUUUUCUUUAGAGCUUU
rnacentral:snRNA from 1 species